GUGAAAACACCCAUUCUAUUUCGAUCACCCAAGUUAAGUAGUGUCGAGCCUGGUCAGUACUUAAAUAGGUGACCGCUUGGGAACACCGGGUGCUGUAAU